ACCUAGCUGGCUCAGUUGGCAGAACAUGUGGCUCUUGAUCUCGGGGUUGUGGGUUUGAGCCCUAUGUUGGGUA
rnacentral:tRNA from 1 species